rnacentral:lncRNA from 1 species
UUGAUCCAUGGUAAUAAUUAAGAAUUUUAAAUCUGCAAAAAAAGAAACUGCUAAAUUAAAAAAAUUGUUCUUUCACUUUUCAUAUCUGUAAUUGAAUGAAUUAAUUGAUGAAUUUCACUCACGUUUAUAGGCAGAGUGGGGCAGUUUCUUAUGUGCUAUAAAACUACCUACUUUUUAUUAAAGUGGACGAUUAUUAAACUGCCACUUCUCAAAUGGGCACAUUGGACUUAAGAAAUAUAAACCACUUUAAUUAAUUAUUUAAUAAUAUUACAUGGGCCACAAUUAAUUGGUUUUACAUCAUUCACCUAAAAUGCUGCAGCUGUUGGCUAGAGCAAAAGCCUGGAGUAAGAAGAAAUCAUUGACAUCAGUCGUGGCUAUAGAGGACUGCUGGCUGCGGCUAGACGAGGCAAACAGGUGAAAUGGUGAAGGGGAGUCGGAUUUAGAGUGAAGAUCGGUAGUCUGGUUGAGGGUGGGUUGGGAAAUUAAGAAAGUGGAGAUAUGAGACAUUUGCAUUGGGCCUAGCGCAGUGGUUCAAUGGGUUUUUCAUCGGCUAAGCUAGAUCUAUUUUUCACUCAGCUAACCAUAUAAUAAUAAAAAACAAAAAGAAUUGUGGAAAUUACACCACGGUAGGUAUUUAAAGAUGACAAUUCUAAAAUAGAGUUUUAAGUCUACUUGAACAUAUAUCAGGUAUUAAUCGAAAUGAAAAUUAAUCUCUCUCAUCUUUAUCUCUCGCUCCCACUCUCUGUCAUCUCUUACUCUCCUAGUCUUGCACCGUCAUCACCGAAGCUCCAGCCAGCAAGGUCGUGCACAGCAACGUCAGAUCACCAUCGGAGCCAACUGAAGGAGAAGGAAAUGGUUGUAUUGGCCAUCAGAGCCUCCUCCACACUGCCCAAGAGUGGUGAUAAAAGUUGGAUCCAUCGGAAAAUAUUGGUGUUUCCCGAUGAGAAUAAUCUAAAGACAUUGAGGAAGAUGGCCCACGUCGGUAAUGUCGAGAUCAGAAGUCGGAAGCUGAAGAGGAAUUUGAGUAUGAUUUUUAGGGAAAUUAAUUUUGUAAAUAAUGUCCGAAAGGUUAUUUAUUCUUUAUUUAACCAAAAUAAGUGUUUGAUUGUUUCAUGAUUUGGGGGCUGCUGUCAAAUGGGGCACAGAUUUUUGUGUUGUAAAGGGAUUGAAAAUUUGGAGCUUUAAGGGCAGCUUUUCUUACAAGAUUUGACAGUGGAGCUAGUUAAUUUUAGAAAAGGGCUCUAAGUGGUGGUUGAAAGUGGUUUUCGUGAUGUUUUGGCAUUGGUGAUUUACAUGGUUGUGUGGUUCUUAUUGGUGAUGGCGGUAGUGAGAUAGCGGUGGGUGUGGUGGAGUGUUAUGGUGGUGGUUAUGGUGGAAUGUUGGCGGUGGAUCAAUGCCCAUAGGUGGUGAUGGUGGCGGUGUGUAGGCACAAUCGAUUGAGUAUUUGUGACCAAAUCUCUUGAAUAUGUAACCUAUCAAAGUGCACAGAUCACUUAUCAAAAUGCACAUGUCACUGUUUUAAGAAAUUUGAUAACAAACCACUAGAUCAGGUCAUAGGUCUAAGAGAUUUGUUCACCUGCCAUUGGAUCAAGUCACUAUCAUAUGCAACAGGGCACAAGUUACAAAUUCAAAAAAUUUGGUCACAUGCCAUUGAAUUAGGUCAUAAGUCAUGUUAAAUGCAUAGGUCACAAGUCAUGAAUUCAAAAGAUUUGGUCACAGACCAUUGGCUCAGGUCACAUGUUAUAAAUCCAAGAGAUCUGGUUACAUGCAAUUAAAUUCUCCGACCUCAGUUAUUCGAAUUAGUUAAAAAUUCAAUUAAUAAGAUUUCGACAGUGAGAAUUGAAGUUAUUUGCUUAAGUAAGUAUUCUGUAAAUUACAUGAGGAGCUGUUUUUCAAUUUUAAGUUUUAAAUUAUACCUACUGAGUCGUGAAUGAUGAAGAUGAUCGGUCGACGAAGUUCAGUUUGCAGUCGAAGAAGUCGUCGACAAAUUGGGUAGGAGCGAUUGUUCAGUGAAAUUGGUGUAAAUAGAUUAAUUUAAUUUGAUAAUAUUAUUAUUUAAAAUUAAAAUAGAAACCUGACUUUUGAAUUUUGAAACUUAAUGUCUGGGAAUUGCUUUGUUGCAUACUUGAUAGCUGAGAUGUGAUUUCUUCCCAAAAGAAUUUCUAUAUAGGGCUACCCUUGUUGGGCCGGCUUCAAGCAAGUCCGCCCCUACACUAAGAAUUUUUAAGAUAAUCAAAUGGUUCAAACAUUUGACAGAGGUAAAUUCAUACCAAGGAACGAACAAGUUUGAAUAAAAAUUUAAGAAAUGUUGCCAAGUAAUUAUAUUUACACCCUUUAUAACCACCAUGGAUUUUGUGAGCAUCCUUUCUGGGAAAUUGGUUAAGGCACAGAUGUCGCUGUGUUGAUUCCCGAAUUCACAAUAAACACCGAGUAUCGUGCAUGCCUUCAGCCAUGACAUGGCAACAGUAAGGCAACGUUCGUGCCAUAUCCAAUUUCCGGGAAAAUGCUCACAGAUCUCUACGUGCUAGUUGGGUGCCCAUCUGCGAUGCAAACCCCUCUAUUCCCUAGGCUUUAGGCAUCCUAUUUAAUUGAGUUUACCAAAUGUCAUGUGUACCCUUAGAAUGGCUUUUCACUAAGCUGCACCAUACAAUACUGGACCACAUUAAAAGGAUAAAAGUGAAGCUACGAAUAUGUCCAUUGUACAGUCAUGUACUAUCCAAUACUGGAAGAACGGAAAUAAAAUAAAUCAGUAGUCUCAUAGGCUCAGGAAAGACAUUAUUUCUGAUCUUGGCAAGAGAGAUUAGAAAAUUGCUACAAUUUAGUCUAUUGUACAGACUUAAUUUCAUUUAUUAGUCAAUUCCAAGUAUUUUAUUUCGACUUGUUGAAGACUUUUCCCUUAAAGUGAAGCUACGAAUAUGUCCAUUGUACAGUCAUGUACUAUCCAAUACUGGAAGAACGGAAAUAAAAUAAAUCAGUAGUCUCAUAGGCUCAGGAAAGACAUUAUUUCUGAUCUUGGCAAGAGAGAUUAGAAAAUUGCAACAAUUUAGUCUAUUGUACAGACUUAAUUUCAUUUAUUAGUCAAUUCCAAGUAUUUUAUUUCGACUUGUUGAAGACUUUUCCCUUGCCGAAAAGCAAGGAUAUGCACCAAACAUGUACUUCAUGUCCUCGUAUUGACAACAUCUAUUCAGCAAUAAAAAUGAUUUAUGCAUCAUCCAUAACUUUCCCUGCCCACCCCCACCUAAAAAAAAAAAAAUGUAAAGAGAGACAAAAUAGACAUUAAAAAAAAUUAAAAAAAUAAAAGCAGCAUAGAAUGUUGCGAGAUUGAUGCUCGGAGACUCCUCCAUACCCCACCAUAUUGAUAAUCUUCUCCCUAUUUUCACGUUUUAAGUAGCAUGUAGCAUCUUGUAAACUGUAGAUUUAAUCACGCAUUUAAUUGAAAAUGUAGCUGUUUUCAUUUCACGCAUUUUGUCGAACAGUUUUCAAACAUCACAGCUUCACAGUUGGACAAUCCAAUAAAAACAUAGAAAUUUCUAGAAUCACAUAUAACUCCAGAAAAGAAAUAAUACUCAAAAUACUUUAUAAAAAAAAAUACAUAUACUUCAUUGGAACAAAAAAGAAAUAAAAUUUCAAAUUUUCAGUAGCCGUACAAAUUUAUAGCUGAGCAAAACAAAGUUAAGAUCUUCAAAACUAUUCUUGACUUCUUGAAAACAGAAAAAUUGAAAUGCUAAUUAUAAUUACCGAUGGAAGUAAUAAAGAAGAAAUGAAAGGGCGGACCUUUUUAGAUGCCGGACGAGAGCGUCAGCUGGUUUGAUUAGAGAUUGUUCCAACACCCUAUUCUCUAAUUUUUUAUUUUAUUUUUCUCUCUCUCUAUGAUUGAAACCGUUCCUCCGAUAGUAAAUUUGAGACAAGUAUUUGACAAAUAAUGGUCAUCCCUAUAAUAAAG